ACUCGCUCGCAGCUCGAUUUUCAGGGCAUUCGCACGUGGUACUUGCUGUAAGACGCUUCGACCCUUCUCUCGCUUGUGAACUCGAGAGAUACCUAUUACGCAUCCGAUUUACUUUUCUGCCUUGCUUGAUAUGCCUUGCCUUGCCGUGCUUUGCCUUGUUUAAUAGAAGUUUGUUAUUACCACAUUAUAACACUGGCGAGACUUUCAUCGGAUGAAUACGAGAACAUUCAUACACGGUACCUGCUAGAAUACUUCGACAAGAGCGCUUCUCUCACUUGUGAGCUCGAGAAAUAGCUACUACGCAUUCGAUUUAUUUUCUUGCCUUGCUUGACGUGUCUUGCCUUGCUUGAUAUGCUUUGCCUUGCUUGAUAGAAGUUUAAUCACAUUAUAAUACUAGUGAGACUUGCACCAGAUGAAUUACGAGGUACGUACCAUGCGACGCUCACGUACGUACGCUCGCACACAUGUAAAGCGAUUUUAUCUCUCAACUCUCAAGGUACGUUUGCAGCACUCACGUAUGAUUAUUUGCUUGAGUAUAAAUACGCCUUGAGAGAUAAUGUUGUGUAUGUGUGUGCAUACGAUACAUAAUAAAGUUAUAAUCGCGAAAAAAUAGAGAACAUAAGUGAAAAAAAUAUUCAUUUAUCCUUAUAUUAUAAUCAUUAUCAUAUAUGUCAAAAAAUAUAUUUGAUGCUAUCAAGUAAAUCUUGAUUUGAUUGUCUCGUUCGCGCGUUGCUAUACUUAUUCGUGUGACUUGUUUCACUCGUGUCGUUUGACAGUUUGACAGUAAAAGAAAAUAAAGAUAUAGAAAAUAAAGUUAAAAAUAUUUAGAAGGAAAGAUGUGUAAAAAAAGAUAUGUAUGUUAUAUGUACGUAUACCAUUAUAUAUCAUUAUGUUGUAUGAAAAAUACAUAUAUUAUUGUCUUUAUAUAAAUGAUUUAUUUAAAAUUAAAGAAAAAAUUAAGAAUUGGCGAGAGAGAGAGAGAGAGAGAGAGAGAGAGAGAGAGAGAGAGAGAAAAGAAAAGAAUAUAAUACUAGAUAAUAAUAUUGUUCGGUAUAAUUAAAUAUAUUAUUAAAAAUUACUAAUAUAUAUCAUUAAAUAUUAUUAACAUUAUUUAGUUUUAUUAAUAUUAUUUAAUUUUAAUAAUGUUAUUUAAUAUUAUUAAUUUUUAUAAAUGUUUAAAUAUUAUAGUUGUUGUAAAUGUUUAAAUAUUAUGGUUAAUAAUUUUUUAAAUGUUUUAUUUGAAGUUAAAAUAGAGACGAAUAAUAAGAAAGGGAAAAAGAUAGAGAUAAGGAGAGAAAAAGUGAGAGAAAGAGAGAAAAAAGAGAGAAAAAAGAAAAAAAGGAAGAUAAUAUUGUUUAAUAUAAUUAAAUAUAUUAAUAAAAUUUCUUAAUAUUUUUAUUAAUAUUAUUAUUAAUAUUCUUAAAUAUUAUUAAUAUUUAAUUUUAUUAGUAUUAUUUAAUUCUAUUAACGAUAUUUAAUAUUAAAUUUAAUUAUAUAGUAUUAAAUAUCAUUAAAUUAUAUAUUAAAGUUUGUAAAUGUUUAAAUACAAAGGUAAAAAAAGUACGCCAAGUAUAUAAAAAAAUCUCAACUUAUAUGUAACAAAAGGUUUAAAUAUGAUUUUUUACAAAAAGUAGUGAUUCCUUCAAAAAAACUUCACAAAG